GCUAUAGCUCAGUGGUAGAGCAUUUGCUUAGCAUGCAAAAGGUCCCAGGUUCAAUCCCUGGACCCUGGUAUAUCUA